rnacentral:lncRNA from 1 species
AAAGAUGAGGCUAUUAUGGGCUACUUUGCUAUGAAGCUACUACAAGCCUGCCUGGAGUAUGGAUUAUCUGCAGGUUUGCUUCUUGAUCCGAAUCAUAGCUUCUAUAAUGGUUGCAAGAGCCUUGCAGGCAGGAAGAGUGUCUUUCUUCUUCCCCUUUUCUUCCUUCCGUACCUUUCACCCCACUCCUAUUGCUUGGAUAGAGAUCUGAAACUUCAAAGAUAUUCAGUGAGUGUCUAGUAAAUCAAUGAAUAAAUGAAGAGUUAGGGCAGCA